UAUAGUAAGCUUUAUUGCACAGAUGUUC
rnacentral:piRNA from 2 species